AGUGAACGCUUGCGGCGUGCUUAACACAUGCAAGUCGAACGAGAACGGAUUAUAGCUUGCUAUAAUUGUCAGCUGAGUGGCGCACGGGUGAGUAAUGUAUAGGUAAUAUGCCUUUUACUAAGGAAUAACAAAUGGAAACGUUUGCUAAUACCUUAUACUCUUUAUUAACAUAAGUUAAUAAGGGAAAGAUUUAUUGGUAAGAGAUUAGCCUGUAUUGUAUCAGUUAGUUGGUGGGGUAAUGGCUUACCAAGACUAUGACGCAUAACUGGUUUGAGAGGAUGAUCAGUCACACUGGAACUGAGACACGGUCCAGACUCCUACGGGAGGCAGCAGUGGGGAAUAUUGCACGAUGGACGGAAGUCUGAUGCAGCAACGCCGCGUGGAGGAUGACACAUUUCGGUGCGUAAACUCCUUUUAUAUGAGAAGAUAAUGACGGUAUUAUAUGAAUAAGCACCGGCUAACUCCGUGCCAGCAGCCGCGGUAAAAC
rnacentral:rRNA from 1 species